GACCACGCACCUCAUCAAUCUAGUAUUAGCAGCAGUUUCUUUAAAUAAUUACACACAAGCACGACCAUUUAGGUUAUGAGACUAAAUGGAACGAACAGAACACUCCUCUCAACGGGCCGGGCAUGGAUGCAAUGACCUGUCUCUAACCAUUCUCCAAGAAAGCAGUUCACCCAUCAUCCAUGCAGAGGGGCGGAGUGGAUAGGUGGUUGAUGGUGCCAGUCAUUGGUGAGGGAGGAUCUGGGGCCCGUUAAUGAAUCUCCCCAGAGACGAGAGAUUGUGGGGUUGGAGUGAAGAGGAGGUGCUGCAACAGGAGAGGAGGCACCAGAGGCGGAGCUUGCGUGUUUGGGUCUGUGUGAGUGCGUGCAGGGGAGGGGAGGAGCAGGGGGGCGAGGGGGGUAACAAGCUGUCACACUGCAGGAAAGUCUGCUCCAGUAAGUCACAUCUGCCAACAUGCACAAGGGCCAUGCCUGAGGGCUGCAGGGUCAAAGGGCAAGACGUCCCCCUGCAGAGCGCUCAGAUCACGUAUCCACUCCAGUCAAUAAACUGGCUGCUGUCACUGUUACAGACACUGGCAAUGCUGUUCCUUUUUCUGUAGACUCAACUGUAGAAUUGCAUCCCAUUGAUUUACAGUAUAUUUGGUCUCCUUUAUCCUUUAUAUAUGGGAUCCUUGACAUUGAAAGAUGAGAUUGAUCAAGGUCUGUGCCAAUAAGGUCAUUGUAUUAAAUAUAUGUUCUCCUUUUUUAUGAACUUAUGUUCCAAUAAGACUUUUUAGCCAACUAUCUGUGAAGGUAAAAAUGUCUCCUGGCUUUGUUAUAACUGGAAGUCCUUCAAUAUAUCUUACACAUUUAGAGCGAAAUAUAAUCACAACACAUACUGCUAAGAUCUAGUAGGGAGGACAGAUUGACGCUUGUGUUAGAAGCAAGCUUUAGUUUCUUCUGUUCAUCUUGGCUGAUUGAAUGCUUCGAAUCCUUUUGCUUCUGAGUUAUCACAGGUUCAUGGCUCCUCAGCAGUGUGGAGGCCCAGUGAACAGCACUUUGUGCUCUUAUACUGACACAGCAAAUAAAUGUGUAUAUAAAUGCUAUUCUGGUGUCGGGGCAAUUUAGAAUAGUUCAAGCUUGGUGCAGAGGGAGUGAAGUUGAUUCCCUGUCAAUGCUGGCUCACAAGCUCCUCACCAUCAUGUAAAUAAAUACAACCUCCUGCUGUGCAAACCUAACUUCUGAGGAAUCAGCAAAAAGGCAUCCCCUUGUUUUCCUUUGACCUAAUCGCCAUCUCUCAUGUCCUGGAGCCACCUAUACGUAAAGUUUGUUUUCUCUGGAUUAUCUGAUCGUGUGCCCUAUUUCUGUUCAAAAGUAUUGGGAGUUGAGACUGCAGCCAGCACCCCUCCUUUUCCAACCCCACCUCACUGUUGCCCCUCCACUGUCUGACCCUCCCUUUCUUCUACCCGUCUACUAGUUUGGUAAAGCCCAUGACCUCCCAGUGCAGCUCCCCCAGUGACCAGUAAUGGUUUAUUUUGUGUCAAAGUGCAUUUUGGUUCCACUCUGCUCAAAUUUUCAGGACAAAUUCAGCAGUUGUGCAACUCAAACCAGUCAUGAGCUCACAUGUUUACAAUGCAGGGCUGCCGUUGUUUGUCACACCUUUCAAAUAAAAGGUAGCCAAGAUGGACAGUGUUUACAGGAUGCUGGGAGCUGUCGUUGGCUGCGGCUGGCAGCUCUGUCCACUGGGAUGGUGUUUGGAGGCUGAUUUGAUGGUUGCUGAGCCCUUCCAAGCCUCCCCACUGCAGCCUCAUGGUGCCUGUCUGGAUGCUUUAUGGUCACGUUGUGGCUUAUCCAUUAUUUUUGUUUUAAACAAUGGUUUUGACCUACAAUAAAUAAUGGGCUUGUGUGUUAUUGGC